rnacentral:rRNA from 1 species
GUGAACGCUGGCGGUAGGCCUAACACAUGCAAGUCGAAUGGCUGCACAGUAAGAGCUUGCUCUUACGGGUGGCGAGUGGCGGACGGGUGAGGAAUACAUCGGAAUCUACUUUUUCGUGGGGGAUAACGUAGGGAAACUUACGCUAAUACCGCAUACGACCUACGGGUGAAAGCAGGGGAUCUUCGGACCUUGCGCGAUUGAAUGAGCCGAUGUCGGAUUAGCUAGUUGGCGGGGUAAAGGCCCACCAAGGCGACGAUCCGUAGCUGGUCUGAGAGGAUGAUCAGCCACACUGGAACUGAGACACGGUCCAGACUCCUACGGGAGGCAGCAGUGGGGAAUAUUGGACAAUGGGCGCAAGCCUGAUCCAGCCAUACCGCGUGGGUGAAGAAGGCCUUCGGGUUGUAAAGCCCUUUUGUUGGGAAAGAAAAGCAGCAGGUUAAUACCCCGCUGUUCUGACGGUACCCAAAGAAUAAGCACCGGCUAACUUCGU